UUAAAUUGAAGAGUUUGAUCAUGGCUCAGAUUGAACGCUGGCGGCAGGCCUAACACAUGCAAGUCGAACGGUAACAGGAAACAGCUUGCUGCUU
rnacentral:rRNA from 5 species